GAUUAUUUCUAUUAGCUUAACAUUGAUUGAACAAUCUAAAACCAUUAUGAAGUCAGUAUUUUUAGUGUUCAGAUUUACUGUUUGUUUCCUUUCUUGAAAUGGAUUCUUCAGAAGACAUAUUUGAAUUGAAAUUAUUGUAUGCCUUAAAGCCUCUGACCUUCUGUUCAUAAUAGUACAUGAAUAAGCACAGUAUCCCAUCCUCCUAUGUAGCAUUAAUGUAAAGGAAAUGUAUGAAAAGGGAAAAGGGGGUUCUUAGUGUCCAGAGAUAAAAACACAAGAGCAAAUCCUUGCCCACCACUGCAACUGUAAUAUUGUUAGAUUUUGCAGCUAAACUGAAAACAAAAAUUGAAAGCCACUCAGGAAAGAUAUGAAACUCAACAGUGCAAUAAUGGUUCAGAUUCUUAUGCAAUUUAAGGUUGAAAUCAAAUCCAAAUGUGUCUCAUAAGCUUGCUGUCCCCAUUUGCAUAUGAUUUUUUUCUUUUUCUCUAGAAAGACCACAAAGACAUUCAAAUUCAAGUCUUCAUUGGUACUUUGGGAGCAAUUAAUCCAACUUGUGUUAAAACAGGAAUGUCCAAAGAAAUACAGCUGCAGAGGAUUAUUACAGGACUCCUUCAGACAUUGUAAAGGAUCAAUGCAGCAAUAGCAGCUUUCUGCAAUGAUAAAUUAUGAAUCUGUAAAAAGAAAAAUAACGGGGAGAAAUAUCUGUACUGAUAGCUAUUUAGAUAAAGACUUUUUCAAAAAAAAAAAAAAAAGACAAACCAAUAUAGAAUAGAGAAACACAGAAAAAGUUGUUCCUGUAACAUUGUCAAAACAAAUAUCAUGUUCAUUAUAAAGUAUGGAUAAAUAAUAAGGCACUGAAUGGAACAUUGUAGAAAUAAAUAUAAUAUUUGAAUCA
rnacentral:lncRNA from 1 species